rnacentral:rRNA from 1 species
GUGCCAGCCGCCGCGGUAAGACGUAGGGGGCGAGCGUUGUCCGGAAUUACUGGGCGUAAAGGGUGCGUAGGCGGCCCUUUAAGUCAGAUGUGAAAGCCCGCGGCUUAACCGCGGAACUGCAUUUGAAACUGGAGGGCUUGAGUGUCGGAGAGGGUAGUGGAAUUCCCAGUGUAGCGGUGAAAUGCGUAGAUAUUGGGAGGAACACCAGUGGCGAAGGCGACUACCUGGACGAUAACUGACGCUGAGGCACGAAAGCUAGGGGAGCAAACAGGAUUAGAUACCCUGGUAGUCCUAGCCGUAAACGAUGGGUACUAGGUGUGGGUGGUUUCGAUACCAUCCGUGCCGCAGCUAACGCAUUAAGUACCCCGCCUGGGGAGUACGGUCGCGAGGCUGAAACUUAAAUGAAUUGGCGG